rnacentral:rRNA from 1 species
GAGGAGCCCGCGCACGAUUAGCUAGUUGGUAGGGUAAUGGCCUACCAAGGCCUUGAUCGUUAGCUGGUCUGAGAGGAUGGCCAGCCACACUGGAACUGAGACACGGUCCAGACUCCUACGGGAGGCAGCAGUGGGGAAUCUUGCACAAUGGGCGAAAGCCUGAUGCAGCGACGCCGCGUGGGGGAUGAAGCAUUUCGGUGUGUAAACCCCUUUCGAUCCGGACGAAUACCUCGCAAGAGGGGUGACGGUACGGAUAUAAGAAGCCCCGGCUAACUACGUGCCAGCAGCCGCGGUAAGACGUAGGGGGCCAGCGUUGUUCGGAAUUACUGGGUGUAAAGGGUUCGUAGGCGGUGUGGCAAGUUGGGAGUGAAAUCUCUGGGCUCAACCCAGAGGCUGCUUCCAAAACUGCUGUGCUUGAGUGUGAGAGAGGCGCGUGGAAUUGCAGGUGUAGCGGUGAAAUGCGUAGAUAUCUGCAGG